UCAGGCUCACAGAGACCAUUCAGUAAAACAAAAGGGGUAUAGGAAAAUAAAGAAGAGCAUGAUUACAGAAUAGUCCCUACCAAUUUUGUAGCUAUCAGCUAUUAUGUGUCAUGUUUUCAUUUGUAUAAUUAUUUUAUUUUCCUUAAUAAAAAAGCUGUUCAUUUUGUAUAGAAUGAUCAUUUUCCAUGUAAACUACUACAUAAGGACUCCAAUGGCUUGCUGAUACAUCAAGCAUGUAAACUUGCAUCCUUUGAGUUUUUGUGGUCUUUAGGUAACAUCUUGGUUUAUGUUAUGAUGUAGCCUUUGACAAAAUGUUUAAGUCUGCAAGUACAGACUUUAUAUUUUACUGUAUAAUUUUGUUUGCCACUUUACAGCUCACUGCAUUCAAGAAGCAUGUUGCACUUUUCUCCAAAAUGACAUAUGGCAGUGCAGAGAAAAUAUCAGCUGAAACAGCAAGAAACCGCAGUAGACUUGAUGACUUUUAGAAUCAAUUUAUAAACACUGAAAUUGUCAUAGUGUGGCAAAUUUCACAGUUUAGGUCAAAACUUGAUUCUAGUUCUACUCUGUUUAAAAGUCGGCUCACCUGAUCAGGCAACCUAACUUCACGUUUGUCCAAUGAAAUUGAAGCUGUUACUUUAAGUCACAAAAUUGGGAGAUCGCACAGCCAAUUUGUUCUGCCGGAAGUGUGUGAUGAUGACGUAGUGGUUUCAAACUCGUCUCUCGAUUUUAUAGGACUUGUUUCCGGUCUCAUUUGCUUCCUGCUAUUUUUAGCUACAAGUCGCUCAUUUUGCUGCUUGAUAGCCUACUGCAAAUUGGUGUGUCUUACCAUUUCAUUUUAGUGUAUUAUCUUAAUUAAGAACACACUAGUUUGUAAUGCAAACAGAUUUACCGUUUACUGCACGUUGAUAUUUUUCUCAUUAUUUCCCUAUUGGUCUCGCACAUAGGCUUACUUCUGCAUUUAGGAAUAAGGUGGAUUUGUAUCUACCCAGGUAAACAUUCCAUUUGUCAUCAGAGAACGCAAUGGUAAACUUUUAUUUCUCACUUGAAGUUGCUGGAUUUCGACAAAACAAACACAUGACAAAAUAGUAGCUAGUCUCUCUGACUCGUUCAAUAUUGCGUUUUUACAGUUUUGUAAAAUCAGUACUUUUUAUUUUUCAAUUCAUGUUAUGAAACAUUUUAUUUAUAAUUUCUUUAUUGUCCCAUGACAUCAAGAGCUAAGCCAGAACAGCUUAGAGUGGCAUGGUUAAAUGGGAAUUUCAGAAAAACUGUCACAUUUAAAUUUUUCAGCUGUUAGAUACAGUGACAACCCACAUACAGACUGGCAAGAAACCUUAUAUUUAUAAAGACAAAGCAGAAUUAUGGAUUGCUGUAUAUUUAUAGCAAUUAUUAAUAUAGGUUAACAUAAAUUUCCUAUUGUUUAUUGCUAAUUCCUACUAAUCAUAAAUUUAAUUUAUAAAACUAGACAUGUUAAAAAUGUGUAAAAAUAUGUAGGUAUAUUCAUCUUGAUUUUAAAAAAUGCUAUGAAAAUGUUGUUUGUUUAUUUUGCACCUUACAGUACUUACGGUAAGAUUUUGGCACAGAAUAGUAAUAAUAGUAUACACGUUUAGAACAACGUGAUGAUAAAGUGACAUAUUUGGGUGAACUACUCCUUUAACCCUCAAGUGCCACAUUAUUUUUAAAUUGGCAAGACUUUUAAAUAAUAAAUUGAAUAGUUUUGUAAUGUACUGUAAUCAUAUGAUCCCUCAUAAAUAAAUCCAUAAAUUAUUUUAUUUUGAUGUACAGUGCAACAUUUAUUAUAUUCUAUACAAGUAUGUACAUGUCAUUCUAGCAGCAUAAAAAAGAGAGGGUCUGAUAGAGACGAGAUAGAGGGAAUAAGAAAGAAGCUCGGGCACAGUAUUAGCUAGAGAAGGUUUAUUAUUCUCUGCAGCACUCAAUCAAACAUUGGCCCUAUGAACAGAGAGUAAUGCUAGAGAAUCAACCUCAGGGCUUCUGUCUGUCUCUCUCUCUGUCUCUCUCUCUCUUUUAUUCCUUACAGUGUGUGAGUGGUAUCCAUCUGUCAACUGUCAGUGCCAGUGAGAGAUAUCCAGAGCUGUCACAUCUUGUCAGCUCUCUGAGCUGACGCCUUUUGCAGCUGCCUGGCCAACACACACACACACGUGCACACACACACACACCGUCCCCAAUGAUGGCCAGCAUGCAGGCACACUAAAUGGGGAAAUAAUGUGGCUGAAAGAAAAAAAAGCAGAUAAAAGCUGCAUAAAAAAAUUUGUGAGCCGGAAGAGGGAUGGAGGAAUGGCAGGAGCAGACAGAUUGUACAGAGGGACGAUGAGUCAGAUCCAGGCUGUAGAACUCUGUGGAUGAGAGACUGAGUUGGAGAACCAUCAAAGUGCUGUGGACGGGGGGUUAGACGAGGGGCAGCGGGCAUACGGGCAGCAUGAGGAGGAUUAACACAGAGAAAAGCUCAGAGAUGGCUGUUUCAAUGGCCAUGAGAUGAAAGGGACGAGUAGAUAUAUGAUGAAUAUAUAGCCUGUCCCUCUUCAACACGCAUUGGUCGUCCAUUUCUCCUUCAGUCUGCAGAUUAAUGUUCUCGAUAGAGUUUCUAAGACCCGCAUGACUUUGGCGUUAGUUUGAAUGGCUGUUAAACAGCUUGAUGUAGCUAUUUGGCUCUAGUCCCAGCUCUUAAAAAUGAUCUCCUUCUCCUUGCCUACUUUCAAUCAUUAGUGAAGAUCUUCGUAAGGUCUGGAUAACUAAAAGCAAGAUGUCUUCGGCUCCUUCAAAACCUCUGUCAUUUUCCAGUGUCUAAAGACGAGGGAGGAAAGGAUCUUUUUGAAGUUUGGAAAAGCGCCAGUUGAGUGUUGAGAGAUCAGAGCAGGACAUUCCCGCCUGACUUCCUGUCUUGAUUUCACUCAACAGGAAGCAUGAAGUCAGGUGUGGCCGGGGGAAACAAAGCUACAGCUUAUGUUUAAGACAUCCAUCUCUGGGGCCAGAUGUGAUGGAUUAGUUCACCCCAAAAUUAACAUCCUGACAUGAUUUACUCACCCUUAUGUUGGACUGAACCUGCAUGCUUUUUUUUUCUUUCUCAUGUUAAAUAAAAAGUUGCUUGUCUAGAUUCUUUAAGUGGAACACCAUGAUGAUAGCAUGUUGAUUUUGAAGUAUACUCUCUGAUAUUGAAAGACUAAAGACAGAGGGUCAGGUGUUUAAAUAAUGUGUCUUCCCUAUCUGACACAACAUAAUGAUGAGAAGUACUGUGUUAGUGCAGAAAAUGGGCGUGUGUGAGAAAGAGAGAUAGUUAAAGAUUGAGAGAUGACAUUGAUGUAUAUGUGAGUUUUGUGGCACUUGACAGUUCCCACAUUUGCAUCUGCAACCUCAGUAAAACUGAUCUUCACCACUCAGAGGUUGGCAUCAUCUGAGGUCCUCUGAGGGGAUGGCAUCAUCUCUUCUCAGGUGUUCGGUCAUCUCAGGUCUUUGUAAGGGCUGGAUCCAGACUGAAGCUUGUGUAAAUCCUAGUUACCAUGGGAUGUCAAUCAUGUGGCAGAAACAGAGAAACAAAUAUAAGACAUAAUUAGCGUAGCUGCCAUUCCAACCAAGCAAAAAUUAUUUGUUCAACCCAAGCUAAGGAAUAAUAAUGUGAUCAGAUAUAACACUCCAGUACAAGAUUAUGAGAUACAUUUUUUGAAUGCUUGGCCAAAGAGAUGUCUUUAAUCUAGAUUUAAAUAGAGAGAGUGUGUCUGAACCCCGAAUAUUAUCAGGAAGGCUAUUCCAGAGUUUGGGAGCCAAAUGUGAAAAAGCUCUACCUCCUUUAAUGGACUUUGCUAUCCUAGGUACUACCAAAGUCCAGGGUUUUGUGACCUUAGGGAGCGCAAUGGAUUUUGUGGUAGAAGACUAGUAAGGUACGCAGGAGCUAAACAUUAAGGGCCUUGUAGGUAAGUAAUAAUAUUUUGUAACUGAUACGGAACUUAAUAGGUAGCCAGUGCAGACACUGUAUAAUUGGGGUAAUAUCAUUAAAAUAAAUGUAAUAUGAUCAUAAAAUUAAAGUACUGUCAUCAUUAACUCACCUAUUUAUCUAUCAUAUGGCUUUAGAAGAUUGUAAUAUAUGUAUGCAUCACUUUCAUGGUGCUUCUCUUUUUCAGUGCUUAAGAAUUGAAAAUGACCUCAAACAAAUGGCUUUUUUUUUGUUAUCCAUAUAAACAGCAGCUCAGAUGUUCUGCAAAAAUUUUCCUUGUGUUCCCCAAAAGAAAAAAGGUUCACACACACACACCAGGAGGGAUCUGAAGCCCACACGACACAGACACCUCAACCGAAUGUAAAACAAACACUCUCGAUUUCACUCUUCAAAAAGACGUUCACCACCUUCAAAGCUUUACGACGAAAGCGGAGCGGAACGCUCCAAAACACAGGCAACAAACAACUCGUUUAUACAUUCUCCUAAUUCCUCUCCGACGGGCCUCGAUGUCUUUCUUCAGCAACAGACUGUUGGGGAUCACGGCUUCAACGUUGCAGUUUUAAGACUCAGCCGUCUCCCCUCCCCGCUCCUCCGUAUCUCUGUGAUAAACGCCGGAGCAAAUUCAAAGCCAAACAAACACGGAUUCAAAGAAAGAUUUUUGUGGCAACUUAAGGAAAGCGCAUGUUCGUGACAACGUGUCGCCGGGGAGUUUGUUCAGUCGGUGCUCGCUCAGAUAGACCCUGGCUGCUCAUCCUGAGCAGGGAAGUGCAUUUGCUUGAUUAUCAUUAAAAAAAGAGAGAUGAUGUCUUCAGAAGUCAGAGGGGAUAUUUAUCAGCCUCGCAGUUGGAGACGUGAUGGCGUGUCUCUUCUAAUAGAACAGCCUCAAGGCUCUGGGCCUGUGUGCGCAGGCUUUCCAUCUGUAGCACCUGAGGAAGAGGACGGGAACGCCGAGCUGUCAGGAGAGAUGAGCUCACGCUCUCUGCGGCAGGCUGUCAAAUGCGACACAUCCUCUUCAAGAGCAGACACAAGAGCAAACUUCCGCUAUACUCCUCGAUCUUUGUCUCUUUCUCUAUCUGUUACGUUAUCUUUCUUUCUUUAUCUGUUCUUCUCCUUUACACUUUCUAUUUGAAAUGUAGGACAGUAGCUAUGGCGGACUUGUGCAUCAUGACCUAUGGAAUCAGAGGUGUCCUUCAUUUGUAGGACAGACAUUCAGGACAGAAGAAAGAAAGAAAGACAUAUGGGUUUAGAACAAUAUAAUGGACAAAAGAAUCAAAAUGAUCCAAUUCCUUCCUAAUUCAUGGAAAUGGAAAGGGGGAGGAGGGUUCCUGUCAGGAAGGAGACAUGGAGCGCUGCUCCACUCAGCCAUCUAUAAAAGACUGGCACUGAAAUCAGCAGCAUUUGCAUAUGAGGGUGGUGUAUGAAGCUGUGUUUGCCUCCGGCAGAUCCCCCUGGCAGUCUCUGAGAGCUGCCAUCUUCUUCUGCCAGCCCUCCAUUAGGCCUGUAAGGUGUGUCAGUCAGCUCUCGUACACAGGGGCUUAUGGGAAGACUGCGGGGAAGUGAGGAGUGAACGAUGAGUGUAUGUACUGCUGCAACUCUACAGUAACACACUGUCCUAACCAGGCACGAUCAGCCGCGCUUCUAGACAGUUUACAGUGGGUGGCCGCAGUGAAAAGUGUGUGAUGUGUCAAACUUGGUUUAUAAAAUAUUGCACUGAAAGCAUAUGUCAACAAUAAGAGUGCAGUAUAGAUGCUUAUAUGCAUAAAAUAUGCAUUCUGCAGAAUUUAGUUUUUUUUUUUUAAGUGACUUACAUUGUAUUCAAGUACAGAGCGCCGCACAUGGCAUACAGGAGAAAAAAAUAGUAGGCUAAAUCGUGUGCAUGGUUUACUGUUUCAUUCCCUCGAUUUAUAAAUUGUGUGCACGAUUUACUCAUUCGUUUCCUCGAUUUGCU
ensembl:lncRNA